AUAUAAUAUAAUAAAUUACACAUUUUAUAAAAUGAAGAAUUUUUUUUAUAAUCCUAAUUUAUAAAAAUAUUUAAUAUUAUUUUCAAUUUAUUCAGGUAUGAUGGUGUGACUACGUGAGGCCGUGAUGGUGUUGCAGAUUCAAUACGUGUAAAGAUGUUUUACCCAUCCCUCAUCUUCAUUGGGAAAUCUUGUCAACGCCAAUUUUUAAAAUACAACAUAAUUUAUCUUCAUUUGUGUUGACAUACGACAACAAAUAAUACGUUGUUGUGAUGUUGGCGUGAGCGAUUAAUGAAAACAAACAGGAAAGGACAUAUUUGUAUUAUUCUUUUUUUCGACGCGAUAACGCUCAUCCCACAUCAUGUACCGAAUGGACAACAGGAUAGGAUGAUGACGACGAGGAGAAGGAGUAACAGAUAGAAGUGGUGGAAGCAGAGAAAAAUGUGGCGACGAUCGUGUUGGUUUUUUAUUUUUAUAACGACAAACCGUCGAUGCGUCUACGCUCACGUACUAAUUAGGGUUGGACCAGAAAUCUCGAGCACGUCUUCUUGCUACGCGGCGCGUUUACGUACCACGUACCAUCUUCGUGGAUUUACAGACCCAUCGAUCCUCGGGGUUUCACCUGCUAAGCACGAUAAGCAAUUGGCCGCGGUUGCAGGAUGACUUCGUCGAUUGCGGUACAGGUUUCGGUGUUCGUGGUCUUGGCGUUGUUGCGACCGCGGUCCACGCUCGCUAGUCCACACGGAGAUCUACCGUCGUACGACCACUACGCCACUAACGAUGGCGUGUCCAACGUCACUGCCGCCGACCACGACGUCCGAAUGGAUCAUGCUCGACAUAGCUACGGUAAACAUUACUCGCAAGUUUUUUUUAACUUUUUUGUUUAACGCUGUUACACACACACACACACACACACACACAAUAAUAUUAUCUUUCUCCUACCACCUCUUCUGAGGCCGAUUGAAUGCACGCGACGUGUGCUUUAUAUACGGAAACGUUGACCCAUAUAUUAUUACGUACCUACUUAUUUUAUAAAUAAAAAAAUUACGUAUUCACGUACUGUUUUUGAGUGUUAUUUUUACCAAGGAUUUGGCAUCUAUAAACCCCAAAAUAGAUGCAUCGUCUUUGAAAAAAUCAACCCUCUUAGACUACGUGUGUAUCUCUAUUAUAAUAAUAUAAUAUAUUUAAUUUUUUGAGUAUAAUAAGCUAAGUAGUCAGUGGUUUAAAUUUGCGAUAAAGGAUACCAACAACAAACCCAGGUGGUUCAUAAGAAUUCACUGUUUAAUAGAAGAUAAAAGUAUAUAAGUAUUAUAGUAGAGUAACUUAUCAGACAAAACAUUAAUUAUUUAUUUAAAAUAUAUACUUUUAGAUGUAUUAAUUAAGUACAAGUAUAAGGUAAAUGACAAUCCUAAAAACUUAAAUUUAAGUGAUUUGAAAUCUUCAUAGAUAAAGGUUAUAAAAUUAUAUAAAAAAAAAUCAAAAUAUAACAACUAAUAGAGGAACAAUGGUGGUUACACGUUGUCUUCAUCACCCUUAGUCGCUAUAAGAUUUAUUUUAUAUGGUACCUAUAUAAGUAAUAUGCUUUAUAUUAUAUGACGUAUGUAUGAUGUCUUAACUUACUAUAAUAAUAUGUUACCCUUCCAGCACAACAUUUUCAAGGUUUCAAUGGAAGGGUGCAAAAAGGGAGUUUGAAAACAAAACAUACAUACAAUAUAAUGCUAUUGUUAUGGAUGCUAUUACUUUUCGUGGUUUACACGUAUGGAAAUACAUCAGAAAUAUCUACCCCAUUUGGGGGAUGGUACGUGAGAUGUAUGAUACUCGUGUAGUUAUUUUAAUGGACAAAUAAAAUUGUCAUCGUCUGCUGCAUUCGCAUUAAGUUUUCAACCCUCGAAAAUAUUUACGGUGUGUUUAAUGUCUAUACUAUUUAAAGUGAAUUUUAUGUCCAUGAUAUAUACUUACUAUAUACUUAAUUAUAAUUAAUUAAAAUAGACUCGAUAAUUUAAAAAAAAUGAUAAAUUGAACUACAUUCGUAAUCUCUCGAAAAAACCUUUGUAUAAUUCAAAUAAAAGUAAUAAAUUUAAUAAACUCAAUAUAUUUCGAAGUCGGAGGAGAUGAGAGAAUUUUUGCACCAUAAUUAGUUUUUUUUUCUCAGAAGCUCUAUAAUUUGAACUCUAUUUUAUUAGUUCUAGAAUAUAGUUUCAAAACUUGUGGAUUUAUAAAUAAAGGACUGGGUGAGUAGGAGAAAUUACUGUAAUACAAAGCGAGAAGACUUAUAAAGGUGUAACUAUACUGAGCGCACGGAUAAGACUUGAGACAAAAGCGGUUUCUAUAUUAUUUUGAUAAAUUUGUUCUUUUUGAUAACAUUAAGUUCUGGUAAUAUUUCAAUCAAAGAUUCAAAAUCAUGUACUAUGGCUGUUCUGCAUGACUCCGAUCUGGAUAAUAAGAAAAAUGAUUUCGAAGUUCCAACCAUACUAUCAAACGAAGUAUUGUUUAACAGUACUAUGUCAAACAUCAAUUAUUUAAGAAAUCAAAAAUGGAUCAGGUAAAAUGUAAGACGAUUUUGUAUUAGAUUGUCCUCAACAGUUCAUCUCAAAUAAAGAUAAUUAUAAUUUUUUAAAUAUACUUAAACAUUUUUUGUCUUACGCAUUUUUUGAAUUUUUCUUUGAUUUGUUUGUUUCAUUUAUUCUCAUUUAUAAUUUUAUUUUUGACUAAAUUUAAAAUCUUUUGAAUUAUUGAUGUAUAAACUUUAUAUACAAUUUUUCAAUUAGUUAUUAAGUUAUAUUAUAUAUAAUUAUGUUACUUAACCCUAAGUCUAUUACUAAUCGGAUAAAUAUGUAUUUCACAAUAGUUAUUACUUAUAUAUAUAUAUAUUUGCAUUGUUUAUUUUUUUAACUACUUUUAUGCAGGUACUGUAUAUUAUAUAACUAAACUUAAUAAUUUAAUAAUGUCUCGUAUUUUUCUGAUAAACUGAAAGUUCAAUUAAUAAAAUGAAUAAAAAGAUUAAAAGAAAAUUAAUAUAUCAUGCAUAGAGUAAUAUUAUAAACAGUUCAAAGUAGAUAAAAGGAAUGGCGUAUAGUGCAUGUAGCAUGAUGGGCUCAUAAUUCUAGAGGGCCCAUCAAUAAGAAUGUAUGGAAUCCAAAAAAAAAAAAAAAAUUAUCAUUAUUAUAAAAUUUAAAAUACAAUGGUGUUUAGAAAAAAAAUAUAUCCUUAUAAAAUAAAAUUGAUUUAAAAUUAAUUUAAUUUAAUAUUUAGAAAAAUUACUGACAUACGAUUAUUUUAUGUAUAGUGUUUGCUCGUUGACGUCUGAGAUAAUUGUGGAACGGACGAACUUACUCUAUAUUUAAAGCGGUAUAACAUGUUUUUUAUUAUUUAUAACCCACUAGUCGAGGCUGAUAUAAAGGUAAAUUUGGUGGCGGAGUAAGGGUCCUCUAGAUUAUUUUGACACCGGCAAAAUUCUAGUUAGGUACGCCACUAUAUGUAAUAGUAUAACAUAUUAUAUAAAUAAUAAUCACAAUAUAAUAGUAUAUAUCUAUGAUCUACGUAUGAAAAUUGUAUAAAUUAUAUUGGAUUUAAUUUUAAAGUUGGUCAAAAUUCCUUACAUCCAUUUUGUGAAUUAAUUAAUAUCGACAAUACCUCUAUAGUUAAUAGUAUAAAAUAUAAAUGUAUAAUAUUACAGUUAGGUUACGGUCGUUAAAGUCUUUAUGUUUUUUGGGAGUUUUGAACUUGUAUACAAAUCAUAUUCAACUUUGCAUUACUGUGAAGCGUAAAGCCCUCAAUACUCCUCUAGUAUAAAUCUAAACAAUAUAUAUAAACGUAGAUUAGUGAAAGUUUCUAUAUGUAAGUAAUAUAUAGACAUAUAAUAGGUA